UACGUAGGGGGCAAGCGUUGUCCGGAUUUAUUGGGCGUAAAGAGCGUGUAGGCGGCCAGGUAGGUCUGCUGUGAAAACUCGAGGCUUAACCUCGAGCUGUCGGCGGAAACCAUCUGGCUAGAGUCCGGAAGAGGAGAAUGGAAUUCCAGGUGUAGCGGUGAAAUGCGUAGAUAUCUGGAGGAACACCGGUGGCGAAGGCGGCAUCCUGGACCAUUACUGACGCUGAGGAGCGAAAGCCAGGGGAGCAAACGGG
rnacentral:rRNA from 1 species